AGUGAACGCUGGCGGUAGGCCUAACACAUGCAAGUCGAACGGCAGCACAGUAAGAGCUUGCUCUUACGGGUGGCGAGUGGCGGACGGGUGAGGAAUACAUCGGAAUCUACUUUUUCGUGGGGGAUAACGUAGGGAAACUUACGCUAAUACCGCAUACGACCUACGGGUGAAGGCAGGGGAUCUUCGGACCUUGCGCGAUUGAAUGAGCCGAUGUCGGAUUAGCUAGUUGGCGGGGUAAAGGCCCACCAAGGCGACGAUCCGUAGCUGGUCUGAGAGGAUGAUAGGCCACACGGGAAGUGAGACACGGUCCAGACUCCUACGGGAGGCAGCAGUGGGGAAUAUUGGACAAUGGGCGCAAGCCUGAUCCAGCCAGACCGCGUGGGUGAAGAAGGCCUUCGGGUUGUAAAGCCCUUUUGUUGGGAAAGAAAAGCAGCAGGUUAAUACCCCGCUGUUCUGACGGUACCCAAAGAAUAAGCACCGGCUAACUUCGUG
rnacentral:rRNA from 1 species